UACGUAGGGUGCGAGCGUUAAUCGGAAUUACUGGGCGUAAAGCGUGCGCAGGCGGUUUUGUAAGCCAGAUGUGAAAUCCCCGGGCUUAACCUGGGAAUGGCAUUUGGGACUGCAAGGCUUGAGUGCGGCAGAGGAGACUGGAAUUCCUGGUGUAGCAGUGAAAUGCGUAGAUAUCAGGAGGAAUACCGAUGGCGAAGGCAGGUUUCUGGGCUGACACUGACGCUCAUGCACGAAAGCGUGGGGAUCAAACAGG
rnacentral:rRNA from 1 species